rnacentral:rRNA from 1 species
GGUCCUUUGUAAUUUUUUAAAUAGGGGAUCAGACCUGCCCGGUGACUUACUGAGUUAAACGGCUGCAGUAUCCUGACUGUGCAAAGGUAGCAUAAUCACUUGCCUAUUAAUUGUGGGCUAGAAUGAAUGGUUUGACGAAAGUCUGACUGUCUUUUUAAAAAAUAUUAAGAAUUUAUUUUUUGAGUGAAGAACCUUAAAUAAAGCCAAGGGACGAUAAGACCCUGUCGAGUUUUAGUGAGUUUAAAAAUUUUAAGUAAGAAGUGUUAGUUGGGUGUUUUAAAGCAACUUUAAUUGGGGGAUUUAGAAAGAAAAAAAAACCUUUUUUGUAAAAUUUUGACUGAUAAGUAUAAGAGCUUGUAAAAUAUAAAAAGGAAGAGAAACUACCGCAGGGAUAACAGCGUUAUCUUUUUGGAGAGUUCUUAUUGAGAAAAAGGUUUGCGACCUCGAUGUUGAAUUAAGAUAUCCUAAAAAUGCAGCAGUUUUUGAGGGUUGGUCUGUUCGACCAUUAAAAUCUU